GAUGAACGCUGGCGGCGUGCCUAAUACAUGCGAGUCGAGCGAACAGACGAGGAGCUUGCUCCUCUGACGUUGGCGGCGGACGGGUGAGUAACACGUGGAUAACCUACCUAUAAGACUGGGAUAACUUCGGGAAACCGGAGCUAAUACCGGAUAAUAUAUUGAACCGCAUGGUUCAAUAGUGAAAGACGGUUUUGCUGUCACUUAUAGAUGGAUCCGCGCCGCAUUAGCUAGUUGGUAAGGUAACGGCUUACCAAGGCAACGAUGCGUAGCCGACCUGAGAGGGUGAUCGGCCACACUGGAACUGAGACACGGUCCAGACUCCUACGGGAGGCAGCAGUAAGGAAUCUUCCGCAAUGGGCGAAAGCCUGACGGAGCAACGCCGCGUGAGUGAUGAAGGUCUUCGGAUCGUAAAACUCUGUUAUUAGGGAAGAACAAAUGUGUAAGUAACUAUGCACGUCUUGACGGUACCUAAUCAGAAAGCCACGGCUAACUACGUG
rnacentral:rRNA from 1 species